GAUCAACUAAAUUCAAGGAUAAGCAGAUGCCAUUCUAGAAACAACAUCUCUUGACUCCAAGUCAAUUUGAUGGGAAUAUUUAUGAAGGCCGAUCCACUACUGAAAAAAAAAAUCUCAUUUGCAAGCUUUUUACCUCGGCAGUCGGCAGCCGGCAGCGAUUUCCAACGCAAUUGAUCACCAAAUGUUCCGUAGCAAGUAACUUUAUUAUUAGCGACCGUAAAUCUUUACCGUAGUAACAAAUUUUAUUAAUUGCGACACAUUUUCGUCUUGCCGUCGCAAACCUUUACCACCUCCCUAUCUCUCUUCUCUACCUCACUUCGAGGAGGGCAUCACCGACGCCAUCGAGCGACGCUGUCAAGCCUUCCACCGAAUCCAUCUUCUUCGACAAAGUCUUCUACAAGCAUGACAUCAUGGGCAGCAAGGCCCACACCUCAAUGCUCCCCAAACAGGUCCUUGACUUUACUUUCUCCAUUUUCAAUUCUCUCAAUUUCUCAAUUUCUAGGGUUUGAUUUGGUUACUGUUAGGGAUUCAUCACUGUCGAGAAUAGGGUUAGCAUUCAUGAAGGGACUACGGAGAUUCAGAGGCGAAUUGAGGAGAUAGGGAAGAUGUGUAUGUGAACAUUGGGGCGGCGCUGACUAAUUUGACCGGCGAGGCGGAGAAGAAGCUCCACACAGCGAGGAGCAGAAACAAUCAGUUGUUUCUUAUAAUCAAGAGGAGCUUAAAGCGAUGCAGUGCUUUAAGAAAGAACCAGACAUUAUUUAACUUGUUCAAGGGAGCUUGUUCACUUGAUAGGAAGGUUUUUAACUGGAUAUGGAAUUGGAGUUUUUUCUGAUGUGGUCCCAAUAUUUAUAGCAGAAAUCGCGCCAAAAAUCUCUGUGGAGGGCUUACAACACUAAUUUAGGUAAGGCAGCUAUGAGCUUUAGUCCUAUCUUUAAACUAUAUGAUCAUUAAACUACUGUUUUCCAGUUGCCAAUGGUUGUUUUGCUGCUCAUGAUUGUUACUGGGUCCUCAGUUCCAACUGUAAUAGAUAUUUGAUUUCAGUUGUAUUCUCAAUACUUUAACUUAAUCUAGACUCUACAUAGUUUAUUUGCAGUUGUAUUUUUGUACUAUUUAUAGCAGGUAUAUAUGCCUUACUAUCAUUUUAAUUGUCAAUACUCGGAUGUUCUAGUCAAACAACUUCAUAUUCGAACUUGUGUGUCUAUUCUAUACUCCUUCAGUCAGUUUAUUGUACUUUUUAUUAUUUUUUAUUUUUAUUUUUUAUUAUCUAAGGUAGAAUAUUUUCCAAGUGAAAUACAAGUUUGAACUAAAAAAAUUUCAGUUAAAAUUACAUGUGUACUGAACUACUGAUCUACUAGACUACCUUAAUCAUCAUGCGGCAUGUGGGCUCUAACUUGUCAAUGGCUUGAAUAUUUGGUAGCACAUAGAACUCUUAAAUGAUUAUGUAUAUAGGAUGCAGCCAUGCUAGUGAAGCCAUAUUUGCUGUCUCUGGUUGUUUCUCGUCCAAUCUGUCAUUAUGAUGGUGAGUGACCAACUGGUUUUCCUAUAGAGUAAUAUCUUUCUCACUUGCAUUAGUUCUUGGUGUUACUACUCUGAUCUUGUUACUUCUUCACUACAUACACUUUUCACCUACUUCUUGUGCUUAUAUUCGAGAUAACAGCUCAAAGAAGCCAUAAAAAGGGCUAAAGUUUCCUAGGCAGAAGCUGACAUACACUUACCUUGGUGCUGCAAUUCUUUAUUCUCCUGAACUAGUACAGAGGUGCCACAAUCUUUAUGUAUGAAGAAAUUCUAAUCAAUGUGUCACAGUGCGCAUUAGUUAUUUAUUUCGUUGAUUUGAGGUUGUGAGGUUGUAAUUGUUGGUUAGUUUAGUUAGAAUGGAUUUGAUAUUGUAGUUUAACUUAAGA